GCUUACUAACACAGCCAGGGAGGACUGGGGAAGGAUUCCAGCUGCCUGAGCUAAGCCAGGAAGGGAAAAUUGGAGUUAGCAAGGCAAGGAAGGUCAUUCCAGGCAGUGGAAACAGAAUGAGCAAAGGCAAGAGAAAAGGCUAUUUGCUUUUGAGCUACUCCGGGAGAGGAGCAGAGUCGGUUUGAGUUGCAUGACUGACAUCUUCUGGCUACAGUGGAUAUUACAGAAAGACUGAAACUCCGCAAAAGUGUGUUUGAAAAAAAGAAAAGCACCCUGGAAUUUGGAUCAUUAAGUUAUACUGAUUCUUCAACUAAAACUUUCUUGGGACUUGUAAUACGAAGUAUCGUAAACAAGGUCAUGCACCACUAAUAAAAGAAAUAUUAUUCGCUUAUUACUCA
ensembl:lncRNA novel transcript